CUCUCUCUCUCUCUUUCAGUCGGCGAUAAAAUUCGCUGUGACUUAAUAAAGUCUAAAAAGUUACAUAAGCAAGGCGUACGCGAGGUAGCGUUAUUUUUGCUACCAGAAGUGCGCAAAUCAUCGAUGAAGGUAAUCCAUUGUCGUGCAAAAAUCCACAGUUCUCUUGGCCUCUCCAAUUUUUCUUCUCCGCUACGUCUCUCCGCGAGACGAUUUAUGGCGGCCACGAUUUUUUCUCCAUUCCCGUGUUUCCGUGUCGAGAAAAAAAAAAAAAGAGAGAAAAAAAAGAAAGGAGGCAUCCGGCCUUCCACCUGGAGCUACCUGGAGAACGCGACUAAAAAUUACGCCUCGCGAUGCACGCUACGGUGGUGCAUAAAAUUACACGCGCAACCUGUCGGUCGCGGGAGAUACGUGCUCGAACUUCGAUUUUCAUAAUGGCGCGGCAAAACGGAUUUGCUGGAUAAAUUUAACCCGCGUAUUGACGUACAGACAAAUCUAACUCAUUACCCCCUCCCCCCAAAAAAAAGAAAAACGACAGCGCUCGCCCAGCGUUCUCGGAGCUCGGUAAAAGUCGCUCGCGAUGAAACACACAUAAAUUAUUACUCGAAAACACCACCCAGCGUAAACGCGCAUUUUAUUAUCUCGAGAAAUAUUACGUUGCAUUGAAAGAAGGAACGUGUGGUGUGACGACGCCUCUCUCAUAAAUUUCGGGACUUAAUUCGAGCGGUCUUCAAGUCUCAGAAUCCGAUGGGAGUGUAGAUUUUAUUUCGCGGGAUUUACGUUGCGCGAAUCCUCUCGUCGUGCAAUCAAUGUUAAGCAAUGGGGGUACCGCCCAUUUUUGAGUCGAGUCCUCCCCUCGCACCCCCCUUCCUCGUCUGCCUCUCCUUACGAACGAAAGUCUAGCAUGGCAUGUGGCCAACAUUCCAGAUUGGAUCGAUCGUAAGAUACAGUGCGCGCCGCUUGAAAAUCAGCUCGACUGUUUUUUGCAUAACGUCCACACGAUCGAAAUAAGCGCAGACGAUGCUUCAAUUUUCUGUUUACAUAAAUUCCCGGCGACAUGUAGGUCGCGUGUCCUUUCGACGGCGCGGUGACUCUACGUGCGUGCGUACGCAGCGUCGAGACACAGUCAGUUCGAGGUAAUAUUUACAAACAAAGGAGACGGAAAUAGUAGCUCGAGUUAAUAUAAUACGACGACACAGUCGCUUCCACACACUAGUAAUCGAGGUACCGGUCUGCGGAUGAGAGACGACAAUAGAGUCAGUGCCCCCGCAUUCUCUCGAUGCUCGUUUAACGCCGUGAUUGUGAGUUUGAUUAACGUGAAAAAUCCCGGGUUCGGGUCGCGCGUGAUUCCCGACUUUUCCGAGUCGAUCGAAGUUUACGUGACACGCAUUUAAUUACUUUUUUUUAUUUUUUCUGUGCUAUUAACUUUUACUCUUGGCUUUAUCACCGAUUAUUAUCAGUGCGCGUUGUUAUAUCGUGUGGAAGUCGUUAUUGCUUGAACAUCGGCAGCAUCCUUGAGGACCUGAAACCGGGGUUGUGGUCACAUCACGUGAGUGCAGCUUUCAGGAGUUUCGCUGGGUGGCGGAUGCCGUACCGGAGGAUCCGGUUCGGGCCGAGCAGGAUCGACUCGAAGAAUUGCAGCAGAACGUGGCCGAUCCUGAGCUACUGGUGAUCUGU